rnacentral:misc_RNA from 1 species
AAGUCGUAACAAGGUCUCCGUAGGUGAACCUGCGGAGGGAUCAUUACCGAGUUCGUGCCCUCGCGGGUAGAUCUCCCACCCUGUGUCAUAACACGUCGUUGCUUUGGCGGGCCGCCGGGCUCACGCCUGGCCACCGGCUCCGGUUGGUGCGCGCCCGCCAGAGGACCCCCAACCCUGAUUGUCAGUGUCGUCUGAGUACUAUACAAUAGUGAAAACUUUCAACAACGGAUCUCUUGGUUCUG